GAGGGGUAAAAUUGAUUAGAGCUGCUACCUCUAUGACCCAAAACUAAACCUUUGGACCCCUUA
rnacentral:tRNA from 1 species